UACGAGGGGGGCAAGCGUUGUUCGGAUUUAUUGGGCGUAAAGGGCGCGUAGGCGGCGGGGUAAGUCUGGUGUGAAAUCUCGGAGCUCAACUCCGAAAUUGCACUGGAUACUGCUCUGCUAGAGGGCUGGAGAGGAGAUCGGAAUUCACGGUGUAGCAGUGAAAUGCGUAGAUAUCGUGAGGAAGACCAGUGGCGAAGGCGGAUCUCUGGACAGCUCCUGACGCUGAGGCGCGAAGGCUAGGGGAGCAAACGGG
rnacentral:rRNA from 1 species